GCGCUCAGCGUUGUAAACUCUUUUGAAUGGGAACAAUAAUCCCGACGUGUCGGGACUUGAGGGUACCAUUAGAAUAAGCACCGGCUAACUCCGUGCCAGCAGCCGCGGUAAUACGGAGGGUGCAAGCGUUAUCCGGAAUCACUGGGUUUAAAGGGUGCGUAGGCGGUUUGAUAAGUCAGUUGUGAAAAUUCACCGGCUUAACCGGGUAGAACUGCGAUUGAUACUGUCAGACUUGAAUCAGGUUGAGGUAGGCGGAAUGUGGCAUGUAGCGGUGAAAUGCAUAGAUAUGCCAUAGAACACCGAUUGCGAAGGCAGCUUGCUGGACCUAGAUUGACGCUGAGGCACGAAAGCGUGGGGAGCAAACAGGAUUAGAUACCCCUGGUAGUCCACGCCCUAAACGAUGUUUACUUGCUGUGUGAUCUUCGGAUUGCGUGGCGAAGCGAAAGCGAUAAGUAAACCACCUGGGGAGUACGCCGGCAACGGUGAAACUCAAAAGGAAUUGACGGGGG
rnacentral:rRNA from 1 species